rnacentral:rRNA from 1 species
GACGAACGCUGGCGGCGUGCUUAACACAUGCAAGUCGAACGGAAAGGCCCUGCUUUUGUGGGGUGCUCGAGUGGCGAACGGGUGAGUAACACGUGAGUAACCUGCCCUUGACUUUGGGAUAACUUCAGGAAACUGGGGCUAAUACCGUAUAGGAGCUCCUGCUGCAUGGUGGGGGUUGGAAAGUUUCGGCGGUUGGGGAUGGACUCGCGGCUUAUCAGCUUGUUGGUGGGGUAGUGGCUUACCAAGGCUUUGACGGGUAGCUGGCCUGAGAGGGUGAACGGGCACAUUGGGACUGAGAUACGGCCCAGACUGCUACGGGAGGCAGCAGGGGGGAAUAUUGCACAAUGGGAGGAAGCCUGAUGCAGAAACGCCGCGUGCGGGAUGACGGCCUGCGGGUUGUAAACCGCUUUCGCCUGUGACGAAGCGUGAGUGACGGUAAUGGGUAAAGAAGCACCGGCUAACUACGUG